rnacentral:rRNA from 1 species
AGUGAACGCUGGCGGUAGGCCUAACACAUGCAAGUCGAACGGCAGCACAGUAAGAGCUUGCUCUUACGGGUGGCGAGUGGCGGACGGGUGAGGAAUACAUCGGAAUCUACUUUUUCGUGGGGGAUAACGUAGGGAAACUUACGCUAAUACCGCAUACGACCUACGGGUGAAAGCAGGGGAUCUUCGGACCUUGCGCGAUUGAAUGAGCCGAUGUCGGAUUAGCUAGUUGGCGGGGUAAAGGCCCACCAAGGCGACGAUCCGUAGCUGGUCUGAGAGGAUGGUCAGCCACACCGGAACUGAGACACGGUCCAGACUCCUACGGGAGGCAGCAGUGGGGAAUAUUGUACAAUGGGCGCAGGCCUGAUCCAGCCAUACCGCGUGGGUGAAGAAGGCCUUCGGGUUGUAAAGCCCUUUUGUUGGGAAAGAAAAGCAGCAGGUUAAUACCCCGCUGUUCUGACGGUACCCAAAGAAUAAGCACCGGCUAACUUCGUG